rnacentral:rRNA from 1 species
CCUACGGGAGGCAGCAGUAGGGAAUCUUUCACAAUGGGCGAAAGCCUGAUGGAGCAACGCCGCGUGCAGGAUGAAGGCCUUCGGGUUGUAAACUGCUUUUAUAAGCGAGAAAUAUGAUGGUAACUUAUGAAUAAGGAUCGGCUAACUACGUGCCAGCAGCCGCGGUCAUACGUAGGAUCCGAGCAUUAUCCGGAGUGACUGGGUGUAAAGAGUUGCGUAGGUGACAUAAUAAGUAGCUAGUGAAAUCUGGUGGCUCAACCAUUCAGACUAUUAGCUAAACUGUUAAGCUCGAGAGCGUUAGGGGUAACUGGAAUGUCUAGUGUAGGAGUGAAAUCCGUAGAUAUUAGAAAGAACACCGAUAGCGUAGGCAGGUUACUGGGACGGUUCUGACACUAAGGCACGAAAGCGUAGGGAGCAAACGGGAUUAGAUACCCUUGUAGUC